CGGGUGUUCGUUUCGAGUCACAUUGUGAUUGAUUUUGUGACUAGAUCGAACAUUCGCU
rnacentral:pre_miRNA from 1 species